rnacentral:tRNA from 2 species
GUAAGUAUAAUUUAGACAAAAUACUAGAUUGUGAUUCUAGAAAUAGGGGUUAAAGCCCCCUUACUCACC